GGCUAAGCUCUGACUUCUGCUGCCGUUCUGCUUCUAUCUAUUCCAGCUUCUUCAGCAUCGAGCCCCUCCGGAGGACAAUGCAGAGCCACCCGGGAAGAAGACAGAAAAGCAGAGUGUGCCACAGAGGCAGGUUCACUGACACCACGCUGUGACUUUCAAAAGGAAUCAAAUGCGUGAAAUGCAUAACAUGGGAGAAAUCUACAGUUACCAUCAACAACAGAAGCAGAAUGGGUGGUUGACAUAUUUCAAGAGGUAAAAAUCCGGACACAAAAUGUUGUUGAGCUUUUUUUGGACAAUCACCUGAUAGAUCUUCUGCUGCCACUGAGCCAGAACCCCCCAUACCAGAG